rnacentral:lncRNA from 1 species
CUUGUUUCAGAUGAGACUUUGGAUUUUGGACUUUGGGCUUAUUUCUCCCAGAAGUAAAACUCAGAUGACUAGGACAAGCUGUGGUGAGAGAAGCCAUUGGCUGCCAUCUAGACUGUGUUGAAAGCACACAGUCACUUGUUAAAGGCAGUAAGUGUUCACGGCUGACCUUCGCUUGGACAGGGAGGCAUUGUAGCAUAAAGGAAGAAUAUUAGACAUUGAAUUCAGAGAAAUAUUGGCUUUACCACUAAAAAACAAUGUGACUCUGGCAUUUAUGAAUAUCAUCUGUCUAAUCUGGAGAAACACGUCUUAUAGUUGGCCACUCUCAUGGUUCUUGUUGCCUUCUGUUGUUUGGAGGAAUCUAAGGAUUUAUGGAAGUUAUGUUGGUAUAUCAGAAGCUUGUUGGUAUAUAUUUGAGUAGAAGGGCUUCAAUGAAGUCAACUUAUACCACUAAGUGGAUUGUUGAUUCUUCGAUGGAUGAGGCUGUAUAAGGGGAUCAACAUUAAUCAAUGUUGCUGACAGGCUGGACAUUCAGCAGCAACCUUGACAAGAGAAUGAAGGCCAAAUUGAGUUUCCUUGAGCAACUCAUUUAACGUUAAGAAUCAAGAUGGUGCCCAAGCUCAGAUGACAUCCUUUCUAACCCAUUUGGAAGGCUCCUCUCAUAGGAGGUGUGAAAGAAAAGAGAAUGGAAAGGAACAGGCUCUUCUCUUGAAGAAAAGCCCUCAGUCCAUACAGCCAGACUUUGUCUACAUAUGCCUUUCUAUGGGAUGCUGAGAGACCAAGGGCUUCUGACAUAGACAUGUGAGAAAUACUGGCUUUAAGUAUACUAUACUCAGUGUCAAAAGCUUUCAGGAUGCAAGAAAUUCCUGAAUUUGAGUCUCCAAAAUUUUAAACAAGGAAAGGAAGUAAAAAUUAUCUCUUUUUCGAUGUAUGGCCCUAUAGUUGGCCAAAAAUGAUUGCUUCUGUUGUUAGAUAUUCAUGUAUAUUUAAGAUUAAAGAAGGUGAUAUUGAUGUGCAAAUAUGAGAGUAAAUUGACAGACAGAUAACCUAAAAAAGUACAGUAAAAUAAAGUUAAGAGUUGUGAUGAAUACCUAAAGGUCCAUUGCCAGAUGAAUGUGAAGACGGAAUGUGAUUUAUAUAUAUAGUGGAAUAUUAUUCAAUUAAAAAGAAAAUGCUAACACUUGCUAAUAUAUAUAAACCUUCAAGACAUUAUGCUAAGUGAAAGAAGCCAGAUACCAAAGGACAAAUAUUGCACUGUUCCACAUAUAUGAAGUGAACAUCACAUAUUGCUGAAGUUCUCAUCAUCAGAAAGAGGCAGAGCUAAGAUUUAAAUCCAGACAUGCCUGGUUCUGAAUUCAGUUGUCUUCCUACACCCAGGAGCUUAUUACAUGCAUUGUGCUAGUCUUCCUGGAAAUCAGGCAAACUCAGUCCACUGCACCUCAUCUCCUUAUGUAAUAACCUGGAGAGCGGUGAGAGCCAUCUGCUUCAAGAGCGACAUAUUUGAGUCCAUAAGGUAAUAGGUUGGCAGAGAACAGAAGGAUUAUGGCAUUGCCAUUUGGCAUUCUUGACUUACUCUGCAUUUAUAAAAUCGAAAUACAUAGUCCAUCAUGUUCUCACAGAGCCUACCAUUAUCAGUCAUUCUGAAAUAAACAUGGUUAGGGACAUCAUAUUCAAAAUAAGUGAUCCUUGUUUUCGGGAAUGAUGUCUGGCAGGAGGAGUUUUUAAAUCCUGCUUUCUGAAGCACUAGCUUACAAAUGACUUUGUGAAGUGUAUUUUGAUUCUGGGGCCCAAGAAGGAGAAAAACAAGUAAGGGAGAAAAACAUAGGCUGGAUCUUAAGAUCACAAGAUAACAGAUGGAUUAAAGGGUAGAAGCCAGAGCAGAGGUUCCAAAACAAGAUUGAUCAUUCAAAUUCAUCUGAAGAACUUUAAAUAUAUGUAUUUACCUGAACCCAGCUUCAGGAAUGAGGCUCAGACAUCUGUGUAUUUAAAAUCUCCUGUGGUUAUUCUGAUAAUUAGCCUCAGUUUUGAGUCAUCUAACAAAGAAAAAGCAAAACAUAUGUCAAUCAGUUUAUCUUACUGUAAUUAAACUUCAGUGGGAAACAUGAGGUGACCCCAAAGAACUGGUUAAGUGUGGCUUAAGAAUUAGUUAAGCAAAUGUACCAAAAGACAAUUUUAAAAAACCAAAUAAAAAGAAAUUUUAGUUUAUUCUCAGGGGCUUUCACAGGAGUCUAUAAAAAUCUCAAAAACAUCCAGGAAGCUCCCAUCGAAUAAUUUGGCUACCUGAAGUGCUGAAUAAAAGGAGCUCUCCCAAAAGAAGCUGUGAAUUCUCUAUCAGGCCCAUGUCCACUCUUCUAGUCAUAGCCUUACUUCUUAAAGAAAGAGAGAAGCUCUAAUCCAAAUCCAAACAUAGGACAUAUGGCGAAGAUUAUUCUGAGAGACACAGUCCCAGAUUCUCCUCUGCUAUACAGGUGUGACAAAAAAGGAGCAAGAACAAAGACUCUAACAUAAUCCUUAGAUGUUUAUAAUAGAAAAAAGAAUGGAAAGAAAUAAACUUUAGCAUUUACACAGGUUGAGCUGACCUAAUCUGAAAAUCCAAAAUCCAAACUGCUAAAAAACUGAUUGAGUUCUGAAGCUUUGAGUGUCAAAAUGGCUCCACAAGUAGAAAGCUCCACAUCUGACCUCAUGUGAUAGGUCACGGUCAAAAUGCAAUCAAAAUUUUGCUUCAUGCCCAACAUUAUUUAAAAUAUUGUAUAAAAUUACCUUUGGCUAUAUAUUAAUAUGUAAGGUAUAUAUAAAACAUUAGUGAUUUUUGGUUUAGUCUUGGAUCCUAUCCCCAUAAUAUCUCAAUAUAUGUAUGCAAAUAUUCCAACCUCCCUGCGCCCAAAAAAUCCAAAAUCCUAAGCACUUCCAAAAUCUAACAGUAAAACAGGCUGAGUAUCCCAAGCAUUUUGGAUAACAGAUGUUCAACCUGUAUCACUUGGGGUCCAUUCAGGGGAACAAACCCCACGAGGUAUUUCAACAGAGAUAAUUUCAUAUAGGGAAUUUGUUAAUCAGAUGAUGGGGAACUGAAAAGGAAAAUGAGAACAUUAGAAGAGAUCAUUACAAAAAGCUGCUACCUCCCCUCAGGCUGGAGGAAUGAAAGGAAGCUGAGAUCAGGAAGCUCAUUGGGAAGCUGAUCAAAACUUACAAGGUUCAUAGAGGGGCCCAAAGAUUUAGGACUCAGAAUUCCAAGGAGGGUGUUACCUACCUCCAAGGAGGCUGCUACUGAAAUCUCAGGAGCUUGGAGGGAGGGUCUCACACAAUGGGGGCCUAACCUCUGAAGUGAGGAGCUACCAGCUAGUGCUGGUACCUCAGAAGUUGGGAAGAGGUCCUGUGAUGUUGAGAUGCAGACACAUAAUGAGUGGGCUCUGCAGCUGGUGGUCGUGAAGGGGCACAAUGACUCUGUUAGUGGGAAUGGCCCGAUGAUCUGAAAGCUGUAAUUAACAGCUGCUGCCAGGGUAAAAGGCCAAAGUGGGGUGAUCUGAUGGGAAAAAAUAAACAAGCAGAAAUGAACAAGUUCCUUCUCCCCUUCUCCUGCCAUUUACUCUUCCCCUAGUUCUUCCUAUUGAUGGAAAUUAAUAGUAAGCCUUCUGACAAAGGAGACAUGUUGUCUUCAGAACCAUCAUCACAAAGUAGAGGCUAGGAAAGUAGAUGUGGAACCUAAUACCGGGUGAAUCAUUCAUCGCACAGUUUCAAAGGUGGCAACAGAAUUAGCCAAAAGCAAGUAUAGGAUGAAAAUAACAAAGGGAAGGGCAGAAAUAAAAUAAGACAUAAACAUUUGAUAGAGAGGACCAACAAAACAAAAUUUUAAUUCAGUGGGAAAA